rnacentral:rRNA from 1 species
AUAAAUAAUAAUAAAUAUUAUUUAAUUUAUUCUAUCAAAAUAAUCCUAUUAUAAUAAUUAAAAUAUUAUUAUAUUUAUUAUAAAAUUAUAUUUAAUUUUAUAAAUUUAGUAUAGUGAUAGAAUAUAUUAUUAAAAUAUAAAAUAGUUUUAUUUUUUUUUACCUUUUGUAUCAGGGUUUAUUUAAUUUAUAUUAUAUUAUUUAAUAUUCUCGAAAUAAAUUGAUCUAAUUAAUUAUAAUAUUUAUUGUGAAAUUAAUAUUAUAAAUAUUUUAUUAGAAGUAAAAUAUUUUACAAAAUUUAUUAUAUCUAGUUAUUUUAUAAAUAAAUUUAAUUUAAUAUUUAUUUAUUUAUAUAUAUAUAUAUAUAUAUAUAUAUAAUAAUAAAUUUAAAUAAUUUAAGGAAUAAGCUUUAAAUUAAUUUUAAUAUUUAUUUAUUAUAUAUAUAUAUAUAUAAUAAAAAUAAAAAUUUUUAUUUAUAAAUAAUAUUUAAUAAUUAAAUUUAUAAUAAAAAUUAUUAAAUUAAUAAUUUAAUUAUUUAUGAAAUUAUAUAUAUUAAUAAUUACUAUAUAGAAAUAAUGAUAAAAUUAGUAAAUUUAUUAUAUAUAUAUAUAUAUAUACUAUUUGAUAGAUUAAAUUAAGGAAUUAGGCAAUAAUUUUAUUCAACUGUUUAUUAAAAACAUUGUUUAUUGAUUAUAAUAAUAAAUAAAAUCUGCUCAAUGAAUAAAAUUUAAAUAGCUGCAGUAUAUUGACUGUACAAAGGUAGCAUAAUCAAUUGUCUUUUUAUUGAAGUCUGGAAUGAAAGAUUUAAUGAAAUAAAAUCUGUCUCUUUUUAAUUAAAAUUUAAAUUUUAUUUUAAGUAAAAAUUCUUAAAAUUUAUUAAAAGACGAGAAGACCCUAUAGAAUUUUAUAAUAAUUAUAUAAUAAUAUAUUUAAUAAAUUAUUAUUAUAUAUAAAUUAUUUGAUUGGGGUGAUUUAAAAAUUUAAAUAAUUUUUUAAUUUUAUAUACAUAAUAAUUGAAUUAAAUAUCUUUUAUUAAAAAAUUUAUAAUAAAUUACCUUAGGGAUAACAGCGUUAUAUUUUUAGAUAGAUCAUAUAGAUAAAAAUUAUUGCGACCUCGAUGUUGAAUUAAAAAUAAUAUUAUUGAAGAUAAUAAUAGUAUUUAGUCUGUUCGACUAUUGAAAUUUUACAUGAUUUGAGUUUAGAUCGGUGUGAGCCAGAUCGGAUUCUAUCUUUAAUUUAAUAAAAUAAUAUUGUACGAAAGGACUUAUUAUUUAUAAUAAUUAUUAAAAUUGAAUAAAAUUA